UGUGAACGUCAGGAUGUGAGACCAGAGGGUGAGGAAAAUUGAAAGCAUCCUGCCUGAACUAUGACUGGAGGAACCAACAGUUUAAAGUCCAGCAAUCCACCACGAGAAGAAUGUAUUCUUACUGGCCACUGGUCCAAAAAGAGUGAAAUAUAUGUGAAGUUGACUUGAAUCUGACCUACAGUCUGGAGCAGUCACCCAGGAUUGCAACAAUGUUAGCACCAUCAGCCCCUAAAGUAGAUGAACACUGACUGUGAGCAAGGAAGAAUAGUGAAACCCCAGGAACAAUGUGACUGGGACAUUCUUCAACGAGACAGGAACAGAAAGAUCUGAAAAGAGUAACAGCCAUCAAACCGGAAGGUUGAGGAAGUCAAGCAGAACAUUUCAGAGCAGCCAUGCCUGCUUGUCAAAAAGAUGACAAACCAGAUACACCCUUUCCUCCUGCAGCACCAACUGAUCCUAACAAGGCACCCCAAACCCACUGGCCUAUCAGUUCCAAUGACGACGUUUGGGUGAGAAUGUGAUCCAACUCUUCAUCUCCCAAGACCAGAUACUGAUUUAGGUUUCUGACAGGAAUAAAUAGAAUUUUCUUUUCUCGAUGAUU